GUGUAAAAUGUUGCUAGCAAAUAUAUAUGCUAGUAACGUUUUACGCCCUCUUUCUUUCUU
rnacentral:misc_RNA from 1 species